GCGAGGAGCUCCCUACAUCACGUUCUGGAAACCCCUCCGUGACCGGAGUCCACCCCUUCCCCCACCCCACAAUACGUUCGGGCCUGCGGCGGCUGCGUCUUGCCCCGGCGACUCCGGGAUGGAAGAUGCGGGCUUGAGUUCUUGCUGGAUGCCAUCGACCGGUUUCCACUCCGGGAGGAUUUCACCGACAACCUUUAACAUUCAGAUCCGCUCCCCCUGGCAUUAUUACCUCCAGGUCAAGCCAACCCUGGCAUGCCGAUAGAUUCAAAAUGCUAGUUCUGGAUGCGGGCAGCAAGUUGGUGGCGGUGGCCCGGAGAAGGCACAGGGUGGCAUGCGCCGGCGACGGGAGGCAUCUCCCACUAGGUCUGUGCACUCAACUGACAGGGUCAACCCAGAGGCGCCCGGAUGGACAAAGAGACGCGCGAUCUACUGGGAUUAUUCCAUUGAAGAGGGGCACAACAGAGGAUGGUGCAGAAUGGGGUGGAUGUGGAUCAAUUGACGAGGAUCAAAGUGCGCGCACACUUGGUGCGGCGGCCCUGGAUUUAGUUGACCAAGACAUAAAUCAUCCGGGACUUUUCGAAGGGGGUUUCGAUCAAGCAAGGAGUCUGCUCUCGAGGCUGCGUGAAGGAGAUGUCGGAUGUAAAACAUAGAGAUCCAUGGCGGUCUGAAUAUACUUGUGUUGAUUGCAUUUUGACCCAUCUUCAGUUCAUUUUGUUGACCCAUCUGAUUACGAUGUCCUCCGGUUCUACAUCAACAUGCUGGGCUGUGACAAAAACGUCAUACGAAAGAAAUGGUUCUGGCACUUUCAUCCAAUACUUGCAGUGGCAUCUGGUCAGGACCUGAAGGAUGAGUUAACUCUUGGUGGUGAGUUAAUGUUAAAUGUCUGGAGAUGCAUGCAGCACGUGCUAAGUGCAAAAGAGAAGAGGAUGUACUGCGGGGUGGCUUGUGAGAUGGAGACGGAUUUUGAUCCCCGUUUUGUGGUACAUACCUUGCUUGUUGGCAUCUUAUGCUGCAUCAUUUUGUUGCUGUUGGAGAUACUGACUCUGGGAUGUUUGGAUACGAUGCGGGAAGAGCUAUGCAGGGGAGACGAUGAAGUGGGCUGGGAUAGCAUGAUGAUGAACUCUGAUUUGAUGGGCUACAUAAUUGAUUGGCUAAAGAAGAUAAAGGUAUUGUGGGUGAAAAACUAUGGACCUGUAUUGAAUUUGUAAUUCAAGACCUAAGCAGACUAAGUGAAAGUACUCCCUCUCUACAGUGGGAGUAUGUACGUGUGGUUGUAUGGACAGAUUACCAUCUAUCUGAAUUCGCAAUGUUAUACUUGGUGUUGGUGAUUCAGUCUCUUGCUUUAUAGCAAAUGUCAUGCUUGCUUGGCAACGGCUGCACUUGUAGAGGUGGUGUCCAGCGGCGGCGAUGAGGAUAUAGUUUCGGUGUGGGAGACGACCAGUGCGAGAUAUAAUAACUGCGGGUAGAUCGGGUAGCCGUUACAGCGGUCGUGGCAAGGAGGCGGCUCAGGCACAGCUAAAUGACUGAGCCGUGACCGCAAAAGAUGUUCCGUCUCUGCCUUACAAGCUGUCAUCUCAUUUAAUGCACCCACGAGUUGGCUUUAUUUGCCUGCAAUACGUCUACUAUACCGGCAGAAAUACAUCAACUAGCACAGAUCCACAUGCUAGCAGACGGGGAUGAUUUCAGGAGCAUCUGAGCCUGGGCUCCGAAUCGAAUAUCCGACUUAUUUAUCCUUGCUCUGUUUUUUGUGUACUAAGAUUGUUUGUUUGUACCCAGCAUGUGUACGUGAUGUGCCCUACCGCUGUGUGUACUUCCUACUAAUGUAUGUGCUUCCUGACACUGUUGAGCAUGCGUGUGUGUGUUCGCUGUCGUUAUUUAUUAACAUUGUCAUGCUCUUCUUACUUUUUCCUUAACAAUUCAUGAUCAAUACCGAACAUUAUUUUUUGAA